rnacentral:tRNA from 1 species
GAGACGCUAGUCUAACUAAAACAGCUGAUUUCGACUCAGCAAAUUGUGGUUUAACUCCACAGCCUCUCUA